CACGUGGGCAACCUGCCUGUAAGACUGGGAUAACUCCGGGAAACCGGGGCUAAUACCGGAUAAUUCAUUCCCUCUCAUGAGGGAAUGCUGAAAGACGGUUUCGGCUGUCACUUACAGAUGGGCCCGCGGCGCAUUAGCUAGUUGGUGAGGUAACGGCUCACCAAGGCCACGAUGCGUAGCCGACCUGAGAGGGUGAUCGGCCACACUGGGACUGAGACACGGCCCAGACUCCUACGGGAGGCAGCAGUAGGGAAUCUUCCGCAAUGGACGAAAGUCUGACGGAGCAACGCCGCGUGAGCGAUGAAGGCCUUCGGGUCGUAAAGCUCUGUUGUUAGGGAAGAACAAGUACCGGAGUAACUGCCGGUACCUUGACGGUACCUAACCAGAAAGCCACGGCUAACUACGUGCCAGCAGCCGCGGUAAUACGUAGGUGGCAAGCGUUGUCCGGAAUUAUUGGGCGUAAAGCGCGCGCAGGCGGUCCUUUAAGUCUGAUGUGAAAGCCCACGGCUCAACCGUGGAGGGUCAUUGGAAACUGGGGGACUUGAGUGCAGAAGAGGAGAGUGGAAUUCCACGUGUAGCGGUGAAAUGCGUAGAGAUGUGGAGGAACACCAGUGGCGAAGGCGACUCUCUGGUCUGUAACUGACGCUGAGGCGCGAAAGCGUGGGGAGCGAACAGGAUUAGAUA
rnacentral:rRNA from 1 species